rnacentral:rRNA from 1 species
UUGGAGGGCAAGUCUGGUGCCAGCAGCCGCGGUAAUUCCAGCUCCAAUAGCGUAUAUUAAAGUUGUUGCAGUUAAAAAGCUCGUAGUUGAAUUUCAGGCCUGGCUGGACGGUCCGCCCUUCGGGUGAGUACUGUCUGUGGUCGGGUCCUACCUUCUGGCGAAGCGUCAUGGCCUUAACCGGCCGUGGCGGGGAACCAGGACUUUUACUGUGAAAAAAUUAGAGUGUUCAAAGCAGGCAAUCGCUUGGAUACAUUAGCAUGGAAUAAUGGAAUAGGACAAUGGUUCUAUUUGUUGGUUUCUAGGACCGUUGUAAUGAUUAAUAGGGAUAGUUGGGGGCAUUAGUAUUCAAUUGUCAGAGGUGAAAUUCUUGGAUUUAUUGAAGACUAACUACUGCGAAAGCAUUUGCCAAGGAUGUUUUCAUUAAUCAAGAACGAAAGUUAGGGGAUCGAAGACGAUCAGAUACCGUCGUAGUCUUAACCAUAAACUAUGCCGACUAGGAAUCGGGCGAUGUUGAAAAAAUGACGCGCUCGGCACCCUAUGGGAAACCAAAG